GGUUGCGGACAGUGUCUGGUGGGUAGUUUGACUGGGGCGGUCUCCUCCUAAAGAGUAACGGAGGAGCACGAAGGUUGGCUAAUCCUGGUCGGACAUCAGGAGGUUAGUGCAAUGGCAUAAGCCAGCUUGACUGCGAGCGUGACGGCGCGAGCAGGUGCGAAAGCAGGUCAUAGUGAUCCGGUGGUUCUGAAUGGAAGGGCCAUCGCUCAACGGAUAAAAGGUACUCCGGGGAUAACAGGCUGAUACCGCCCAAGAGUUCAUAUCGACGGCGGUGUUUGGCACCUCGAUGUCGGCUCAUCACAUCCUGGGGCUGAAGUAGGUCCCAAGGGUAUGGCUGUUCGCCAUUUAAAGUGGUACGCGAGCUGGGUUUAGAACGUCGUGAGACAGUUCGGUCCCUA
rnacentral:rRNA from 1 species